AUACGUAGGAUGCGAGCGUUAUCCGGAUUUAUUGGGUUUAAAGGGAGCGUAGGUGGAUUGUUAAGUCAGUUGUGAAAGUUUGCGGCUCAACCGUAAAAUUGCAGUUGAAACUGGCAGUCUCGAGUACAGUAGAGGUGGGCGGAAUUCGUGGUGUAGCGGUGAAAUGCUUAGAUAUCACGAAGAACUCCGAUUGCGAAGGCAGCUCACUAGACUGUUACUGACACUGAUGCUCGAAAGUGUGGGUAUCAAACAGGAUUAGAUACCCUGGUAGUCCACACAGUAAACGAUGAAUACUCGCUGUUUGCGAUAUACAGUAAGCGGCCAAGCGAAAGCAUUAAGUAUUCCACCUGGGGAGUACGCCGGCAACGGUGAAACUCAAAUGAAUUGGCGGGG
rnacentral:rRNA from 1 species